rnacentral:rRNA from 1 species
GGGUCAGUAGGUUGGUCGUGCCACCGGUACGUACUGGUCUCACUGAUUCCUCCUUCCUGAAGAACCGUAAUGCCAUUAAUUUGGUGUUGCGGGGAAACAGGACUGUUACUUUGAAAAAAUUAGAGUGUUUAAAGCAAGCUAACGCUUGAAUACAUUAGCAUGAAAUAAUGAAAUAGGACGAUCGAUCCUAUUUUGUUGGUUUCUAGGAUUGACGUA